UUUUGUCACGGGUCGUUUUAUUUAUUAUGUUAAUUGUUCAUUUUGCCGUGCACUGUUCGUCAUUUAGUCGCGGGAAAAGUAUUCUUAAUGUCCGCGCAUGCGUCGAUUAUCGUUUGUCUCCGUGGCGUCUGUUAUCGUCUGCUAUUGUAUUGUAUCGGAUGGGUCCGUAAUGUACGCUUAUUAGCGGAAAUUCACGGAAACAGCCGAAACAAUUCAACUAUGUCUGUAUCUCGUGCAAUUUUGUGAACUGUUUUUGUAUGUCCAAUCGUUUUGUACGUUGUAUGAAAGAGUUUUGAGAGAAAGUUUUAGAUUGGUUUUUAACAUUUCCUUUCUUCCAAAUUCCCGCGAACUUUCCUUCUUCACUUCACUUCGUCUUUAUUCUCUUACGAGUUAAGAUAUACUAUUCUACUUAGUACAUAAAUUCUUUAAGUUUAUUUAAUAGAAUUUUUGGAAAUAACUUAUUAUUAAGUUAUUUAUUGAGACGCUGUGGCUUUAUCUUCGUAUUAUAUAUUAAAUUGACGAACCUACGCCAGGAGUUCAUUAUUAAUUCUACCCUGUGACAU